GAUGAACGCUGGCGGCGUGCCUAAUACAUGCAAGUCGAGCGAACGGACGAGAAGCUUGCUUCUCUGAUGUUAGCGGCGGACGGGUGAGUAACACGUGGAUAACCUACCUAUAAGACUGGGAUAACUUCGGGAAACCGUAGCUAAUACCGGAUAAUAUUUUGAACCGCAUGGUUCAAAAGUGAAAGACGGUCUUGCUGUCACUUAUAGAUGGAUCCGCGCUGCAUUAGCUAGUUGGUAAGGUAACGGCUUACCAAGGCAACGAUGCAUAGCCGACCUGAGAGGGUGAUCGGCCAUACUGGAACUGAGACACGGUCCAGACUCCUACGGGAGGCAGCAGUAGGGAAUCUUCCGCAAUGGGCGAAAGCCUGACGGAGCAACGCCGCGUGAGUGAUGAAGGUCUUCGGAUCGUAAAACUCUGUUAUUAGGGAAGAACAUAUGUGUAAGUAACUGUGCACAUCUUGACGGUACCUAAUCAGAAAGCCACGGCUAACUACGUG
rnacentral:rRNA from 1 species